rnacentral:lncRNA from 1 species
AGGAUGGAACUGUUGGCAUAUUUUAUAUAUUAAAAAUAUUUACUUCUUUGUAGUGUUUAUUAUUAUAAUUAUUUCAUUCAUGAUAAUUAUUUUAUGCAAAUUUCUAUUUUGGCUAUUUUUUCCAUAUAGAAUAUAUGUAAAUAGUGAUUUGAGUAUUUUAACAUUAAAAUUUUUUACUAGAUUUCAUUUUUUAUAUAGAGCAUUAAUUAAAAUAGAAAGAUAUAUCAAAAUUUUCCAGACUUCCAAUUGUUCAGCAACUUUGAGAGAUAUAUGAGUCCACCACUAGGAGACACUGUCUGCACCAAUAAUAUUGACCUGGAUAUAAUGUAACUUAUGUUACAACAUUUGCGACCAAGUAUUUAUUUCGUUCAGUAUCUCACACUGGUUAACAAUCCCAAAGAAUAUACAUGAAGUUUUGUGUGAAAUUCUGAAAAUCAGCCAAUAGGACUGGAAAUGCUUCAAUAGGCUUUUAAUAAUGAUACUCUAAGCUGUUCAGUUUUUUUAGUGGUAGGCAUAUUUCAAAAAUGUCUGAAUGUCUGUUGAAGACAACAAUGAUGCAGGAUGACUGUCACUAUACUAUCCAGGCAUUUUCAACAUUAUUGGAAUUUCAAUUGAACCUGCCAGUAUAGCAGGUUCACUACAAAUUGAAAAUGUAUUCCAUCACUACUAAGUUCAUCUCCAAGUCUUUGAUAUCAAAUAGAAGCAACAUCAUCUGAAUGUCUGCUAUGAGCUAUGUGAUCAAGAAAAUGAGGACUCAACCUUUUUCUUGAAGGCCAUCACAGGUGAUAAAGGUUGAGUUUACUAAUUUGUCUCUGGAUCAUACUUGUAGUCUUUGCAGUGGAAGAACUCAUGAUUACAAAGACUGAAGAAGACAUGGCAAAUGAGGAGCAUAACAAAAAUCAUUUUAAUGGUUUUUUUUUUACAUCAAAGGGUUUUUGCAUCUGGAAUUUACCAUAUGCAAUCAGUCAAUUCGGACUUUUUUGUUUUGAGACAGCUGAGAGAAGACAUUUUUUUCAAAAUAACCAAAACUCUGUGGCACAACCAUAAUUGGCUGCUUCAUCACAAUAAUGCUGCUGCUUUCACUACUAUGAAAAAGCAAUCAUAUUUGAUAGCUAGCAACAUGCAAUUAUCCCACAUCAUUCAUACUUGGAAUUUUCUUUUUACACUACAUUAAAAAGAUUUUCAUUGAGCAUUUGAAGCAUGAAGACACAUUGGGGCUGCUGUAUAAAGUCACAAGGAAACUAUAUGGAAGGAAUGGAGACUAGUUGUUCAAUAAGUUACACCUAAUAUGUUUUACAAAGUAAGUCUGGAAAAUUUUCUAAACUACAUUUUGUUUUUGAAAAAUUAAAAUCUAAAUUUGACUUUAAUAUAACAAAUUUCAUUGCUUUAGUUAUUGCAAAACUAAAACAACACCAAAUAAAACAUCAAAAAAAAGAGAGAGAGAGAAAUUUACCACUGCUUUAAUAGAACCUGCCAUAUGUAGGAUACAAAAGCCAUAUAUUUAUUUCAAUACUUCCAUACAGAAGAUUAUUGACUUAUAACAGGGAUACGUUCAAAAAUUUUGAUCAUAAGUUGAAUCUUUCAUAACUCAGAAUGUGAUUUCCCUUAGAUAAAAUCUUAUAAAUGGAAGUUAAAUUCUCCAACCAUUAAAACUAAGAAUAUUUAACAUGUUUUUAAAAAUUGAUAUAAUAAUAAUAAUCAGUGCUCAAAAUAAUUUUGAAAAUCCAGUAGCCAAAAAAAAUUUCUGGUCGCCAACUCCCCCUUCCCC